rnacentral:rRNA from 1 species
AGAAUCAACGCUGGCGGCGUGCCUAACACAUGCAAGUCGAACGCGAAAGUCCCGAAAGGGAUAAGUAGAGUGGCAAACGGGUGAGUAACACGUGGGUGACCUGCCUUCGAGCGGGGGAUAACGUCCCGAAAUGGACGCUAAUACCGCAUAACAUCCUGCCUUUUAAGAGGUGGAGAUCAAAGCCGGGGACCGCAAGGCCUGGCACUUGAAGAGGGGCCCGCGUCUGAUUAGCUAGUUGGUGGGGUAAUGGCCUACCAAGGCAACGAUCAGUA